rnacentral:misc_RNA from 1 species
UGACGUACAGCGAUGUCUCCCUGAUGAUCGACGGGGCCUGGACCAAGGGUGCCAACGGCCGGACGAUCCCCGUGAUCAACCCCGCGACCGAAGAGGUCAUUGGCACGGUGGCGCAUGCCGAGAAGGCCGACCUCGAUCGGGCGCUCGAAGCGGCCGAGAAGGGCUUCAGGCAGUGGCGCCAGGUCUCGCCGUUCGACCGCUACAAGGUGAUGAAGAACGCAGCCUGUC